rnacentral:rRNA from 1 species
UUCGAUGCAACGCGAAGAACCUUACCUGGUCUUGACAUCCCGGAGACCCUUAGGAAACUAGGGGUGCUUCCAUCUGGAAGAAUCUGGAGACAGGUGCUGCGUGGCUGUCGUCAGCUCGUGUCGUGAGAUGUUGGGUUAAGUCCCGCAACGAGCGCAACCCUUGCCUUUAGUUGCCAGCAGUUCGGCUGGGCACUCUAAAGGGACUGCCGGUGUUAAACCGGAGGAAGGUGGGGAUGACGUCAAGUCCUCAUGGCCUUUAUGACCAGGGCUACACACGUACUACAAUGGCCGAUACAAAGGGCAGCGACACUGCGAGGUGAAGCCAAUCCCGUAAAAUCGGUCUCAGUCCGGAUUGGAGUCUGCAACUCGACUCCAUGAAGUUGGAAUCGCUAGUAAUCGUGGAUCAGCAUGCCACGGUGAAUACGUUCCCGGGCCUU